rnacentral:lncRNA from 10 species
GUUUUUUGAGCUUAGAGCAGAGUUUCUCAAGAGCUGCAAUACUGGCAUUUGAGUCAAGUCGUUCUUUAUUGUUGGUGGUGGAGGGGGCACCCUGUAUAUUGUAGGACGUUGGGCAGCAUCUCUGACUUCUACCUACUAGAUGCCAGUAUCUCAGUUUUCUUAAAAGACUUUUUUUUUUUUUUUUUUUUUUUUGAGAUGGAGUCUUGCUGUGUUGCCUAGGCUGGAGUGCAGUGGCACCAUGUCGACUCACUGCAACCUCCGCCUCCCCGGUUCAAGCGAUUCUCCUGCCUCAGCCUCCUGAGUAGCUGGGAUUACAGGUGAGCACCACCAUGCCCAGCUAAUCGUAAAAGACUUUUCAUAAAACUUCAGAACUCCUUAAAAACUAGUGAAUAGCCAAGGUGAAGAAAGCCCUCAGGCUUCUGACUUUAGACCCCAAUCCCUGGGACUCCCACACUCAGCAAAGAAAGCUGGGUGCCUGCACCCUGGAUCUCUGAGCAAACCUGUCUUAUGGCUGUGGGCAACUCAGGAACAUGAAUUAGCACGAGAAUCUGGAGUUUUUCUUUCCUUUUCUGGGUCUCACUCUGUCACCCAGGCUGGAGUGCAGUGGCGCAGUCAUGGCUCCCUGUAACCUCAACCUCUCAGACUCCAGCAAUCCUCCUGCGACAGAUGUCAAAGAAAGAAAUGCAGAUCCUUCAGUUCAACUCUCAGUUGCAGUAAAGCCACCUACAGGAUCAGGUCAUACUAAACUGAAAUGUUGUUAUUAUCCUUUUCUGUAAGGGAGGCAGUCAAUGGUGAAUGCUGGCCUCGCUGAUUACUCACCUGGAGACCUUUCUGAGGAUCAGUUUUCUCAUCUAGAAAAUGGGACAACUGCCAGACCACUGAAGAAAAUACAGAAAACAGCCCCACACAUCAGCAUGUUUGGUUGCUGCCAGUCUACUUGGAUCUGAGUAUUUUUUCUUGCCAUGAAUGUGACGUGAUUAUCUUCUCCUACAUCACACUGAAGUUUUAUGAAUGAUGCUUUGAAGUGGGAAGGGCCAGAGAGUUAAUAUUUUCGGCUUCUUGGGCCAGCUGGUCUCGGUGGCAGCUACUGAGCUCUGCCACUGCAGCAGAGAACGGGCACAGGCGAUAUGGAAAUGAUAGGCGCGGCUGUGUUCCAAUAAAACUUUAUUUACAAAAAUGGGCAGUAGACCAGAUUUGGUCUGUGUCUUAGAGUUUGCUGACCCUGCUUUAAAGAAACAUCAAAGAGAUUCUACCAGCUGAUUUCCUUGCUCCCAAAAUUCUUGUAAGGACUAUGGCUGAGUUAGGAAGUUAUGUACUUUAAUAGCUAAUUUCAGGCCUGGCGUGGUGGCUCACGCCUGUAAUCCCAGCACUUCGGGAGGCUGAGGUGGGUGGAUCACUUGAGGUCAGGAGUUUCAGACCAGCCUGGCCAACAUGGCGAAACCCUGUCUCUACUAAAAAUACAAAAAAAUUAGCUGGGCGUG